AUUGAACGCUGGCGGCAUGCCUAACACAUGCAAGUCGAACGGCAGCGCGUUUGGGGUAACCCAAAUGGCGGCGAGUGGCGGACGGGUGAGUAAUAUGUAGGAAUCUGCCCAGAGAUAAGGGAUAACUUAGGGAAACUUAAGCUAAUCACAUAUAAGCCCGAGAGGGGAAAGCAGGGGACCGUAAGGCCAUGCGACUUUGGAUGAGCCUAACUCGGAUUAGCUUAUUGGUGUGGUAAAGGCCUACCAAGGCGACGAUCUGUAGCGGGUCUGAGAGGAUGAUCCGCCAGACUGGGGCUGAGACACGGCCCAGACUCCUACUGGAGGCAGCAGUGGGGAAUAUUGGACAAUGGGGGGAACCCUGAUCCAGCCAUGCCGCGUGUGUGAAGAAGGCCUUAUGGUUGUAAAGCACUUUAAGCGAGGAGGAGGCUCUUUUGGUUAAUACCCAAGAUGAGUGGACGGUACUCGCAGAAUAAGCACCGGCUAACUCUGUGCCAGCCGCCGCGGUAA
rnacentral:rRNA from 1 species